UUCUCUUUGUGAAUUGAUUUUGCCUAAUUUGGAUUCUAAAACUUAAAAAAAAAAAAAAAAAGGGAAAAAAAACCCAGAACAAAACUCAAACAGUGCCUGUAAGCAGUAUCAGAUGGCCAUUCAUUACCAAACCGUUGUUUUUUCUUCUUUUUCUUUUUUUUUCUUUUUGUAAAGCAACAUGUUUGUUCUUUGGUAGAGAAUUGUUUUAAUUUGUCAUUUUGGAGGAACUGCUUUGACCUGAUCCCUGGACGGCAGGUCUGGAAAAGCCCAGUGUGGAAUAUGGGAGCAGGAAGGACAAGAAAGAUGGAACAGACUCUCAGGGAGGAGAGACUCCGCCUGCAGCGAUUGCCUCACUCCGCAUGGGCCACCAUCCCUCUCUGGAUCACCUUUGCAACGAUCAUUCCCUCUUCAUCCUCUUCUUCUUCUUGGAACCAAAAUGCUUUGCUAAAGCUGGUAAAAUGGAACCAAAUCAACUGUUCAAUGGAUUUGGUCCCCUUCAACCAGCUGUAGCUGUGCAUUGAUCACUCCGAAGAGCCGACUGACAGCCACGCAGUGGGACUAAAGCGACGCCUCUUUCUCCUCUCCACACAUAAACUCAUUGUCGUGUGUUUCUCAGCACCGGCGACUGUGUGCAUUUAUCUCUGUUAAAAAGAUUACCACAAGCAAUUUACUUAAUCUGACUUAAACAAGCCAAGUGAGUAAUUAUAGAUAUCUUAGUGCAUGCAUUGUUAUGCCGUGUAAAGCUGUAACUGUAUUGUCCUUUGGAGAAUUGAAUUGUUCUUUGGAGAUUUUCCCCAAAAGUCUACUGAGAGGCGGAGUUAUUAAGAAGCGAAACGGCUGAAACUGUGUGAGAGAGAUGCUCAGGUUUGUGUGCUUAUGUGUCUACUAAAUUAAUAAAGCCUUAUUCCGAACUUCAAAACCAACUAAGUAUGUGCUUACAAAGCGCUGGAGCUCAUAAGUGAUAAAGUUGUUCUCUGAGUGAUCGUGAUGUUUUUAAUAAGAACACGACUGGGAUCCAGCUGGUUCCUGGGCAUAAAUUACAUCCAAAGUUUUAUUGACAUUAACAGCAUGCUGAGCGGCAGAUUUAUGCAAGAUCAACGCAAUCAUUAUCAGUGGAAAUUGUUCUCAGUUACGCCUGCGGUUUUUCAUGCCUUCGUGAUAAAAACCUGUUUUCAGCGUUCCUGGUUAAGACGUGUAUAUUUACACUUACCAAAUCUAAGACUUUUGCACAUGGCAAAGGGCUUAAAUUUUAAGUAGAUUGAUGUAGUUGGGGAAUAAAAAUCACUUCUGAUACAGUUAAUAUCUUCCAGGUCGGUCACCAGUGCUUCACCGUUCAACAGUAGAGCCGUUUUGUGUUGGUACUCCCUAUAGCAGCUGCUAUCAGUCACUUUAAGUUGCAUCUUUUCCAACUCUAGACAGGACUAUGAUGUAGCACAUGUCAUUUUGGUAACCGUUAAGAGUCUAAAAUAUCUAAAUGAUCUGAUAGUUUUAAGCGUUAAUCCUCUCCAGAAAAGUGGUUUUAGUCAGAGUGUCUUUUCGGCCCUUCAGACAGUCAGAGCUUUGACCACUUAAAAAUCAAUCGGAAAAAACAAUUAAAGAAUUUGUUCGUAACAUAUCAGAUCUGUCAACAUUUUGAAUAAUAAUGUGGGUUCUCAUAAUCCCACCAUGUGACCAUAGGUACCUUGCCAUCUAAGUGACGGAUUAGUUUAGUGUGAAUCAAUUCUCAUACUUUUUAUGACAACUGUGUCGUAGUUUCCUCGUUUUGUUUUGUGUUUUUGACAGAAUUUGUGUAGUAAAGUCACAUCAGGCUUGUAUAACCUUUGUUUUUAACAUUGUCCACGGAUGACAAAUGAAAAAUUGCCCUUUGAUAAAAAAUAGCCUUUUGACUAAUUUUGGUGCAUUUAAACAAAUGUUAAUUAAUACGUCUUUUCCCUGCCUAAUAAAUGAAAUUAAAUUGUCCGUAAAAAAAUCUAAGACAAGUAGAAGAAACACUCAAACCUUUGACACCUAGCAUAAAGCGCUACCUUUCUUUACCUUUCAAUAACAAGAGACAUGCUGGCAUAACAUUAUAAUUACAUAUCAAUAGAAGACACUUUAAAGAAAGUUUGUAAAAACUUAUUUCAGUUAUUGAAUGUCAUUUUUUAUAAAUGUUUUCAAGUGUUUGCGAAUGUUCCCUUGUAGAUGUAUGCAAAGUGAGUUGUAAUUGUAUGUGGGCUGGCUACCAUACUAUGGUGCGUGACAUGAUGAAUAAAAAAUCAAAUCAUA